AACGAACGCUGGCGGCAUGCCUAACACAUGCAAGUCGAACGAGACCUUCGGGUCUAGUGGCGCACGGGUGCGUAACGCGUGGGAAUCUACCCUUGGGUUCGGAAUAACUCAGAGAAAUUUGAGCUAAUACCGGAUGAUGUCGCAAGACCAAAGAUUUAUCGCCCAAGGAUGAGCCCGCGUAGGAUUAGCUUGUUGGUGAGGUAAAAGCUCACCAAGGCGACGAUCCUUAGCUGGUCUGAGAGGAUGAUCAGCCACACUGGGACUGAGACACGGCCCAGACUCCUACGGGAGGCAGCAGUGGGGAAUAUUGGACAAUGGGCGAAAGCCUGAUCCAGCAAUGCCGCGUGAGUGAUGAAGGCCUUAGGGUUGUAAAGCUCUUUUACCCGGGAUGAUAAUGACAGUACCGGGAGAAUAAGUACCCGGCUAACUUCGUGCCAGCAGCCGCGGUAAU
rnacentral:rRNA from 1 species